CAAUAGCGUAUAUUAAAGUUGUUGCAGUUAAAAAGCUCGUAGUUGGAUUUCUGGUGGGAGCGAUCGGUCUGGCGCUUAGCGCGAGUACUUGCAUCGUCUCCGGCCAUCCUUGGGGAAAGUCUGUCUGGCAUUAAGUUGUCGGGCAGAGGAUCCUCAUCGUUUACUGUGAAAAAAUUAGAGUGUUCAAAGCAGGCUUAUGCCGUUGAAUAUAUUAGCAUGGAAUAAUAAGAUAGGACUUUGGUACUAUUUUGUUGGUUUGCGCACCAAAGUAAUGAUUAAUAGGGACAGUUGGGGGUAUUCGUAUUCCGUUGUCAGAGGUGAAAUUCUUGGAUUUACGGAAGACGAACUACUGCGAAAGCAUUUACCAAGGGUGUUUUCAUUAA
rnacentral:rRNA from 1 species